UGGGGAAUAUUGGACAAUGGGCGCAAGCCUGAUCCAGCCAUACCGCGUGGGUGAAGAAGGCCUUCGGGUUGUAAAGCCCUUUUGUUGGGAAAGAAAUCCAGCUGGUUAAUACCCGGUUGGGAUGACGGUACCCAAAGAAUAAGCACCGGCUAACUUCGUGCCAGCAGCCGCGGUAAUACGAAGGGUGCAAGCGUUACUCGGAAUUACUGGGCGUAAAGCGUGCGUAGGUGGUCGUUUAAGUCUGUUGUGAAAGCCCUGGGCUCAACCUGGGAACUGCAGUGGAAACUGGACGACUAGAGUGUGGUAGAGGGUAGCGGAAUUCCUGGUGUAGCAGUGAAAUGCGUAGAGAUCAGGAGGAACAUCCAUGGCGAAGGCAGCUACCUGGACCAACACUGACACUGAGGCACGAAAGCGUGGGGAGCAAACAGGAUUAGAUACCCUGGUCAGUCCACGCCCUAAACGAUGCGAACUGGAUGUUGGGUGCAAUUUUGGCACGCAGUAUCGAAGCUAACGCGUUAAGUUCGCCGCCUGGGGAGUACGGUCGCAAGACUGAAACUCAAAUGAAUUGACGGGGGUCAUAGC
rnacentral:rRNA from 1 species